rnacentral:tRNA from 1 species
GGUGGCUCAGUGGUGAAGUGCUUGCCUUGCAUGCAUGAGGCCCUGGGUUCGAUUCUCAGCACCA